GCAUCGGUGGUGCACAGUGUACACCUCCCUUCCUAAUGGGUUGCUGUCACUGAAGGAGGCGAACGGGGUUCGAUACCCUGCCGAUGCA